rnacentral:rRNA from 1 species
GAUGAACGCUGGCGGCGUGCCUAAUACAUGCAAGUCGAACGAGUUCUGAUUAUUGAAAGGUGCUUGCAUCUUGAUUUAAUUUUGAACGAGUGGCGGACGGGUGAGUAACACGUGGGUAACCUGCCCUUAAGUGGGGGAUAACACUUGGAAACAGGUGCUAAUACCGCAUAAUUCUUUCUUCGCUUGAAGGGAAGAUGAAAGACGCUUUUGCGUCACUGAUGGAUGGACCCGNGCUGCAUUAGCUAGUUGGUGGGGUAACGGCUCACCAAGGCCACGAUGCAUAGCCGACCUGAGAGGGUGAUCGGCCACACUGGGACUGAGACACGGU